rnacentral:hammerhead_ribozyme from 1 species
AUCCAGCUGACAAGUCCCAUAUAGGAUGAAACGUGCGUCCUGUAU